CGGACUUGUUGAAACAACCUUGUAACAAGCCUGAUAAUAUCAACAAGGUUGUUACAAACUUGUUACAAACUUGUUGACUGUUACUAAAUACAAGAUGUGAGAUUUUGCUUGUGUAUACGAUUCGCGUGAACCACGCGUGGCGAUCACCCAAACAAGAUGGCCGACAAAAUGUACAAAUUUUGAAGAAUGUUUACCAUCAAUAUUUCCACAGUUAAUAAAAAUAUUUGCGGAAAAUAAAACAUCGUAUUCACGAAGGU